rnacentral:rRNA from 1 species
UACGUAGGGAGCAAGCGUUGUCCGGAAUCAUUGGGCGUAAAGCGCGCGUAGGUGGUCCCGUAAGUCCGCUGUGAAAGUCAAAGGCUCAACCUUUGAAAGCCGGUGGAUACUGUGGGACUAGAGUACGGAAGAGGCGAGUGGAAUUCCUGGUGUAGCGGUGGAAUGCGCAGAUAUCAGGAGGAACACCUAUAGCGAAGGCAGCUUGCUGGGACGUUACUGACGCUAAGGCGCGAAAGCGUGGGGAG